rnacentral:rRNA from 1 species
AUUGAACGCUGGCGGCAUGCCUUACACAUGCAAGUCGAACGGCAGCGGGGGCUUCGGUCCGCCGGCGAGUGGCGAACGGGUGAGUAAUGUAUCGGAACGUACCAUUCAGUGGGGGAUAACUAUCCGAAAGGAUAGCUAAUACCGCAUAUUCUGUGAGCAGGAAAGCAGGGGAUCGCAAGACCUCGCGCUGAUUGAGCGGCCGAUAUCAGAUUAGCUAGUUGGUGGGGUAACGGCUCACAAAGGCUACGAUCUGGAGCGGAUCUGAGAGGUUGAUCCGCCACACUGGGACUGGGACACGGCCCAGACUCCUACUGGAGGCAGCAGUGGGGAAUUUUGGACAAUGGGCGCAAGCCUGAUCCAGCCAUGCCGCGUGAGUGAAGAAGGCCUUCGGGUUGUAAAGCUCUUUCGGCCGGGAAGAAAUCGCAUCAGCUAAUACCUGGUGUGGAUGACGGUACCGGAAUAAGAAGCACCGGCUAACUACGUGCCAGCAGCCGCGGUAACAC